rnacentral:rRNA from 1 species
GGGAUUGCCCUAGUAACGGCGAGUGAAGCGGCAACAGCUCAAAUUUGAAAUCUGGCGCAAGCCCGAGUUGUAAUUUGUAGAGGAUGCUUCUGGGUAGCGACCGGUCUAAGUUCCUUGGAACAGGACGUCAUAGAGGGUGAGAAUCCCGUAUGUGACCGGCCCGCACCCUUUACGUAGCUCCUUCGACGAGUCGAGUUGUUUGGGAAUGCAGCUCUAAAUGGGAGGUAAAUUUCUUCUAAAGCUAAAUACCGGCCAGAGACCGAUAGCGCACAAGUAGAGUGAUCGAAAGAUGAAAAGUACUUUGGAAAGAGAGUUAAAAAGCACGUGAAAUUGUUGAAAGGGAAGCGCCUGCAACCAGACUUCGCGGCAGUGUUCCGCCGGUCUUCUGACCGGUUCAUUCUCUGUCGCGAGGCCAUCAUCGUCUGGGCCCGCCGGAUAAGACCUUGGGAAUGUAGCUCACCUUCGGGGGAGUGUUAUAGCCUAGGGUGAUGCGGCGAGGCUCGGGCGAGGUCCGCGCUUCGGCAAGGAUGAUGGCGUAAUGGUUGUCGGCGGCCCGUCUUGAAACACGGACCAAGGAGUCUAACAUCUAUGCGAGUGUUCGGGUGUCAAACCCCUACGCGUAAUGAAAGUGAACGGAGGUGGGAACCGCAAGGUGCACCAUCGACCGAUCCUGAUGUCCUCGGAUGGAUUUGAGUAAGAGCAUAGCUGUUGGGACCCGAAAGAUGGUGAACUAUGCCUGAAUAGGGUGAAGCCAGAGGAAACUCUGGUGGAGGCUCGCAGCGGUUCUGACGUGCAAAUCGAUCGUCAAAUUUGGGUAUAGGGGCG